CCUACGGGUGGCUGCAGUGGGGAAUAUUGGACAAUGGGCGAAAGCCUGAUCCAGCCAUGCCGCGUGUGUGAAGAAGGCCUUCGGGUUGUAAAGCACUUUCAGUGGGGAAGAAAGCCUUGGGGCUAAUACCCUCGAGGAAGGACAUCACCCACAGAAGAAGCACCGGCUAACUCCGUGCCAGCAGCCGCGGUAAUACGGAGGGUGCGAGCGUUAAUCGGAAUUACUGGGCGUAAAGCGCGCGUAGGCGGUCUGAUAAGCCGGUUGUGAAAGCCCCGGGCUCAACCUGGGAACGGCAUCCGGAACUGUCAGGCUAGAGUGCAGGAGAGGAAGGUAGAAUUCCCGGCGUAGCGGUGAAAUGCGUAGAGAUCGGGAGGAAUACCAGUGGCGAAGGCGGCCUUCUGGACUGACACUGACGCUGAGGUGCGAAAGCGUGGGUAGCAAACAGGAUUAGAUACCCCAGUAGUC
rnacentral:rRNA from 1 species